AGACUGCCCCAAGCCAGCUCCGAAACCCGAAAUCCCCGCUCCGGCGCUUGCCCACCACGGCCAAAGUUGUGGAAACAGCUUUGACUUUAUUCUCCUCUCUCUCUCAUCUUUUUUUGCCUCGCUUACACACGCAUUCACACUUGCCCCCACAGGAUCCCUCUAGGGGUGCAAGUUCAUCCCCCACCUAGCCACCCACCCCAUCCAGUCGGCACCUAGAGCCGCACGGAGGUUCGGACCCCGCCCGCCGAGGGCGCCCACACCUGGAGCUGGGUUUCGGCCUCUGCGAAAGUGAAAUGCCCAAGCCUCCGGCCAAAGCCCAGACCAGUACAGUAUGAAUUGUCCUAUGAGACUGAGGGGUUCGGCUUCAUUCCUACCUGCCCGCAAAGCUCGCCCCCAGCCUCGAAAACAAAGCGACUGGUCUGACGUGGGGUCCCUGCGCCCCUCCUCUAGCGCGACAGGACCCCCCCAGGGAAGAGCCAGUACCCGUGGGAUGUCACCCCGUCCCCAUCUACCGGGGUGGGGGGCCUGAAAGGAGAACGAUUUAAAAUAAUCUUCAGAAAGAAAAGGGAGGAGGGAGCGGGUGACACAUCGUUCACAUAAACCCAAUUUCUGGUUUCGAGUGAAGUCAAGAUCUCCGCCCCUGCGCCUGCACACACACCUCCUGCCUAACAUUCUCAGCUGCAAAUGCCAAAAAAGAAAAAAAAAAAAAACAGCAAAAGUUGGGACUGCCACCUAUUUAUUUAGGUAAUCUCCAGCCCUACACACCCCAACCCCUCUCUCGGACUCAUUGCUCAUUACAGUGUUGGUUGUAACCGUUCCCAGCGCCUCCUGCGGGUGGACAGGUCGCGCUAGGGUCUCCCUUGCUGCCUCAAGAAGGCGAGCUCAGGGGACUCUGCGUUUUAAAAUGGGUUCCAAAGCGGCGCGCUCUGUCGGCCCAGCGGGCUUGCGGCACCAGAGGUGGUCUGCAGCCGCGCAAGGAUUCCCACGGUCGUUCUGGGCUGGUGCAGAAGCUGGUGCUCCCGCACCCAGCGGCCAGCAGGCUCGGCGCAGCACAUCUCCCCACCCCACCCCCACACACCCCCGUGGGGUGCGUCGAUCCUGUAGCUCAGAGGGAGAAGCUACUUAGAACUUCGUGAAGCACAGAGGAUCUGGAGCGAGCCCCGCAGCUGGGAUCAGUGGUCUUAAGUUGAACCCGCUUACAGGAAGAUGCAGCCCAGCUCACAGCGAAGUGUGGGGGGGCCGUCUCUAAAGCCGAGAAGGGAACCGCUUUAGAAGUGGGGGUGGGGGGAAGAAAGAAUGAAUGAAUGAAUGAAUGAAUGAAUAGAAAGAAGAAGGAAUAUUAAAGAUCGGAGAGGAAGUUCAAGAGAGAAAAGAGUUUUCUCUUUCCUUUCUGUUCCUGGUGACUUGGGCCCUCAAUCUCGAUGAAGAUAACACGAGGAGUGCACAGGCAAGUGCCCAGUUGCCAGCAAUUGCUUCAAAAGCCCAUGUUCUUCUUUUCCCCCAUUCUUAGGCACAGCCAAAAUUGGUCAGAAAGGGGAGUAAAGUGGGACACGAGCUUCAAAGUAGGGAAACCAAAGAAGGGAGCAUCCACGUCCUCUCUCUGCAGCUUCUCCCCCGCGUUCUUCGGGCGAAUCCGAGGGACGGGCGCUGCGCUGGGGAAAGUUUGUCCCACCCGCGUUUCGCAGCUGGUUGCAAGGAGAGGAGGAGGAGAGGGAGGGUCAAGCUCGGAGCCUGUGACCGCACGGAUGAUCGAGCCGGCGUCGCGCUUACCUCGCAGUCCUCGUACUUGAUAUUAUCCGUCAAUUUCCAAAGCAUUUUCAUGGAUCGGCGUGAACGGAUAUGCCCCUCUCGGUCUCGCACCCAAGUGGAGCUACUCUCUGGCUCUUUACCAACAGCCUAAUCGCCUCAUUAGCAUAUCAACAAUAGUCCAAUUGCUCGCCAGUACCACAAUCUGCCGCCGGCCGCUCCGACACAGAGAUGCCUUCUGCAAAGCCCGGCACUGCUCAAGGUCCAAGCGCCACGCCUGGGGCCCAGCUUCUAGCACUUCUCCCUUAACCCUGCUACCACGAUCCGAGCUGCCCUUUUGGCCCCGUGCAAUUUUAUUAGAAAUCAUUAUCCCUUUCGCAAUUAAACAUAACCACCAAACCAAGACCGGCGAAGUCACUCCAGGAUUUUUUCCCAACAAGGGAUCGCCUCCGCUCGAGGCAGCCACCCCCUCGGGCCGCAGCGCCUUGGGAGUUUUAUUGGCUUUGAGCUUUCCCCCAGGUUGGAGAUUCUGCCAAGCGGCUCCGGUGGCUCUGCUGGGGUUUGCAAUCCCUUAAUUGCAGCGUGUAAAAUAAAAGUUGUACCCUGAAGAGGUUACUUGACAGCUCCAGGGGUUAAACAAUUUUUCUCCUGUUUGUGUGAAGCUAGGGCCAACUGACAGUUCAAAUUGGUGUUCAGGCUAAGGUUUCCUGGGUGCAACGUGGACACGAAUACAGAACUCCUAUGGAACUGCACACCCGCUUCUGAAGUUGAGCCUAAAAACAGACGUGUGUGUGCCUGCAAGUCUAGAUACCGUCUCGUGCGUGCAUCAAAAUAAAUCACCGGGAACCGACUUUUAGCUGUGUUAAUCUGCUCUAGUUUUCCCAAGAUUCCCCUUUUUAAUUAAAGCAGGGAGAGUUCCUUCAUGAUUUGGUGAUGCUACUAACGCGGGCGUGCUCGCGAGGCAGAGCCCGGCUGCCGCGGAACCUGGAGGCCUGGGAGCCACCUACUCGUCCAGACUGGUCAGUCCGGGCUUUUGGACUCCUCACCGGGGCCUGCUGGGUCCUCUGGGGCUUUUAUCCCUUUCGGUUUUGGGAUUUUUUUUUAAGUAAGAAAA
rnacentral:lncRNA from 1 species